rnacentral:rRNA from 1 species
ACGACGCUGGCGGCGUGCUUAACACAUGCAAGUCGAACGGGGUCCAUGAGAGCUUGCUCUCGGAAGACCUAGUGGCGAACGGGUGAGUAACACGUGAGAAACCUGCCUCGGAGUGGGGAAUAACUCGAGGAAACUCGAGCUAAUACCGCAUACCUUCAUUUGACCGCAUGGUCAGUUGAAGAAAGAUUUAUCGCUCUGAGAGGGUCUCGCGGCCUAUCAGCUUGUUGGUGGGGUAACGGCCUACCAAGGCAACGACGGGUAGCUGGAUUGAGAGAUCGACCAGCCACACUGGAACUGAGACACGGUCCAGACUCCUACGGGAGGCAGCAGUGGGGAAUCUUGCGCAAUGGGCGAAAGCCUGACGCAGCAACGCCGCGUGCGGGAUGAAGGCCUUCGUGGUUGUAAACCGCUUUCAGUAGGGACGAAAAUGACGGUACCUGCAGAAGAAGCUCCGGCUAACUACGUG